UGGGUUGAUUUGACGACUCGGCGGGUCGACCCGAUUUGGGUUUGGGUCUUGGUUCAAUUAUGGACUCGAUGGGCCAGGUCCAGGUCCUGGUCACACAC
rnacentral:tRNA from 1 species